UACAGAGGGUGCGAGCGUUGUCCGGAAUUACUGGGCGUAAAGCGCGCGCAGGCGGUCUUCCAAGUCAGUGGUGAAAGCCCGGAGCUCAACUCCGGAACUGCCAUUGAAACUGUUGGACUUGAGUACGAGAGAGGUGAGUGGAAUUCCCAGUGUAGAGGUGAAAUUCGUAGAUAUUGGGAAGAACACCGGUGGCGAAGGCGGUCGCUGGGCCAAGACUGACGCUGAGGCGCGACAGCGUGGGGAGCAAACAGG
rnacentral:rRNA from 1 species